UUAAAUAUAUAGCAUCAAACCAUUUUCAUCAUAUCAGAUCCAAAAGGGAUAUAUACAACAAGGUUAGCUAUAUUAUGGAAGGGAAAGUAAUAUUCUGCUCAAGAAAUAUAUCAAGCUUCUACAAAAUAUCAAGAACGAUUUGGAGAUCUGAUUCUCUUCCACUUUUAGUAUAUGUAUGUUGCAGCAAGUUCAUAUGUAUUAGCUAUUCAAUUAAGGAAACACAUUGAUGCAUCUAUUCACCAUAUCCAGCAACGUCAAAAUAUUAUUUCUUGGCAGCAACAUUAAAUUCCAAACAAAACAGCAACGUGUACUUACUCUCAAGAGCAACAUAGCGGGUUUUGAUCUCCGCUUCGAUCUAGUUGUCUCGUGUUUGCCGCAUUGUUUAUUUCUGGCGUUCUUCGAAGUGAAGUAAGGUGGAAGAAGAUUAUUUCUUGACAUAUAAGAUUGGGAAGCCCGAGAUCUAAUUUGUAUUUAGCCUGGAGCGGAUAAGGUAUGUAAAGCUAUCCCUUCUUUCUUUUGGCAUGUCUUAGAUAUAUGUGACGUAUGAUAUGAGCUUUUGGGGUAAUUCUAUUCAUAAGUUUCGAGUGUGAUUCAUGAUUCUUAUUCACUUCUUAAUGUUAGAACUCUUAAGGUAAUUGAGUUAUUGCCUCUCAAGUCUUUUAUACGUUGGAUAGUAGUCGGUAUGUAUAAGCUCCUAUUCUUAGAGACUCUACGGUGACUAAUGUCCUUGACUUCCAUAAGUUAUUUCAUAUUAUCUUGAUACAUGUCUAUGAUUCCUGAGGCUCUAUUUGAUAUAGUCCAUAGUGACAUUUAAAGGGUACUCAACAUGACUAUCGCCUUUGAUACUCGAGUGUUAGUUAUUCCACUUAUUCUAUUGAGUCUCAGAUGAUGAUUUAGUUGCAUGUGGUUGCUCAUGAUAUUCUACUCGUGCAUACAGCUAUCGUGUUAUUCACUGGGUCCCGGGCCGGGUAUGUAUUCGUGCACAGUUUCACUGCAUUGUUCACCGUGUCCCUCACUAGAGGGUCGGGUACGGUAUAUGUAUAUGAUGAUAUAAUUAUGGCACCGAGUCCCAUGAUGGGCCGGGUAUGGUAUAUGUGUACACGACUUUAUUCACCGAGUCCCAUAAUGGGUCGGGUAUGGUAUAUGAUAAUGAUAUGCAUGAUUUUGUUUCGUAAGGCACAGGUACAGUGAUUUCUUGAUUAUCAUACUUGUCUCCUGGAAUCUCUACUUCAGUUAUGAUCUUCCUUAAUGUAUUUCAUGCUUUAUAUACUCAGUACAUAUCUCGUACUGACCCCCUUUCUUGGGGGGGGGGGGGGGGGGGGCUGCGUUUCAUGCCCGCAGGUGCAAAUACUCGUUUUGGUGAUCCUCCAGCUUAGGAUUUCUACCAAGCUGUCUUGGAGAGCUCCAUUGUUCCGGAGCCUAGACUUUUGGUACAGAUCUUUUGAUGUAUAUAUGUGUUUAUCCAGGGGUACGGCGGGGCUCUGUCCCGUCAUAUUUUACUAUCGAUACUCUUAGAGGUCUGUAGACAUAUGUGUGGGUUGUGUAUAAGUUUUGUUCAGCUGUGUCUAUACGAUGUGCUAUGGAUAUGUUCGUCAUUAGUGGCAGCCUUGUCGGCCUGCGUAUGGUAUUGAUAUGUAGUGGCAGCCUUGUCGGCUUGCGUAUCAUAUUGACAUGUAGUGGCAGCCUUGUCGGCUUGCGUAUCAUAUUGACAUGUAGUGGCAGCCUUGUCGACUUGCAUAUCAUAUUAUGUUUUGAUUA